rnacentral:misc_RNA from 1 species
GAUGAAGAACGUAGUGAAAUGCGAUAAGUAAUGUGAAUUGCAGAAUUCAGUGAAUCAUCGAAUCUUUGAACGCACAUUGCGCCCUCUGGUAUUCCGGGGGGCAUGCCUGUUCGAGCGUCAUUAUAACCACUCAAGCUCUCGCUUGGUAUUGGGGUUCGCGGUUCCGCGGCCCCUAAAAUCAGUGGCGGUGCCUGUCGGCUCUACGCGUAGUAAUACUCCUCGCGAUUGAGUCCGGUAGGUCUACUCGCCAGCAACCCCCAAUUUUUACAGGUUGACCUCGGAUCAGGUAGGGAUACCCGCUGAACUUAAGCAUAUCAAUAAGCGGAGGA